AACGAACGCUGGCGGCAUGCCUAACACAUGCAAGUCGAACGAGACCUUCGGGUCUAGUGGCGCACGGGUGCGUAACGCGUGGGAACCUGCCUUUAGGUUCGGAAUAACUCAGAGAAAUUUGAGCUAAUACCGGAUAAUGUCUUCGGACCAAAGAUUUAUCGCCUUUAGAUGGGCCCGCGUUGGAUUAGCUAGUUGGUGGGGUAAAGGCCUACCAAGGCGACGAUCCAUAGCUGGUCUGAGAGGAUGAUCAGCCACACUGGGACUGAGACACGGCCCAGACUCCUACGGGAGGCAGCAGUGGGGAAUAUUGCGCAAUGGGCGAAAGCCUGACGCAGCGACGCCGCGUGGGUGAUGAAGGCCUUGGUCGUAAGCCCUGUCGCAGGGGAAGAAUAAGCAUCGGUAUAAUACG
rnacentral:rRNA from 1 species